rnacentral:rRNA from 1 species
GACGAACGCUGGCGGCGUGCCUAAUACAUGCAAGUAGAACGCACAGUUUAUACCGUAGCUUGCUACACCAUAGACUGUGAGUUGCGAACGGGUGAGUAACGCGUAGGUAACCUGCCUGGUAGCGGGGGAGCACUAUUAGUAACGAUAGCUAAUACCGCAUAAUAUUAAUUAUUGCAUGAUAAUUAAUUGAAAGGUGCAAUUGCACCACUACCAGCUAGACCUGCGUUGUAUUAGCUAGUAAGUGAGGUAACGGCUCACCUAGGCGGCGAUACAUAGCCGACCUGGGAGGGAGGUCGGGCACACUGGGAAUGAGACACGGCCCAGAAUCCUACGGGAGGCAGCAGGAGGGAAUCUUCGGAAAUGGACGAAAGUCUGACCGAGCAACGCCGCGGGAGUGAAGAAGGGUUUCGGAUCGUAAAGCUCUGUUGUAAGAGAAGAACGGGUGUGGGAGUGGAAAGUUCACACUGUGACGGUAUCGGACCAGAAAGGGACGGCUAACUACGUG